rnacentral:rRNA from 1 species
UGCAGUCGGGCGGUAACACAGAGGAGCUUGCUCCUUGGGUGACGAGCGGCGGACGGGUGAGUAAAGUCUGGGGAUCUGCCUGAUGGAGGGGGAUAACUACUGGAAACGGUAGCUAAUACCGCAUGACGUCUUCGGACCAAAGUGGGGGACCUUCGGGCCUCACGCCAUGAGAUGAACCCAGAUGGGAUUAGCUGGUAGGUGAGGUAACGGCUCACCUAGGCGACGAUCCCUAGCUGGUCUGAGAGGAUGACCAGCCACACUGGAACUGAGACACGGUCCAGACUCCUACGGGAGGCAGCAGUGGGGAAUAUUGCACAAUGGGGGAAACCCUGAUGCAGCCAUGCCGCGUGUGUGAAGAAGGCCUUCGGGUUGUAAAGCACUUUCAGCGGGGAGGAAGGCAAUAAACUUAAUAAGUUUGUUGAUUGACGUUACCCGCAGAAGAAGCACCGGCUAACUCCGUGCCAGCAGCCGCGGUAAUACGGAGGGUGCAAGCGUUAAUCGGAAUGACUGGGCGUAAAGCGCACGCAGGCGGUCUGUUAAGUUGGAUGUGAAAUCCCCGGGCUCAACCCGGGAACAGCAUUCAAAACUGACAGGCUAGAGUCUCGUAGAGGGGGGUAGAAUUCCAGGUGUAGCGGUGAAAUGCGUAGAGAUCUGGAGGAAUACCGGUGGCGAAGGCGGCCCCCUGGACGAAGACUGACGCUCAGGUGCGAAAGCGUGGGGAGCAAACAGGAUUAGAUACCCUGGUAGUCCACGCCGUAAACGAUGUCGACUUGGAGGCUGUGGUCUUGAACCGUGGCUUCCGGAGCUAACGCGUUAAGUCGACCGCCUGGGGAGUACGGCCGCAAGGUUAAAACUCAAAUGAAUUGACGGGGGCCCGCACAAGCGGUGGAGCAUGUGGUUUAAUUCGAUGCAACGCGAAGAACCUUACCUACUCUUGACAUCCAGAGAAGACUGUAGAGAUACGGUUGUGCCUUCGGGAGCUCUGAGACAGGUGCUGCAUGGCUGUCGUCAGCUCGUGUUGUGAAAUGUUGGGUUAAGUCCCGCAACGAGCGCAACCCUUAUCCUUUGUUGCCAGCGAUACGGUCGGGAACUCAAAGGAGACUGCCGGUGAUAAACCGGAGGAAGGUGGGGAUGACGUCAAGUCAUCAUGGCCCUUACGAGUAGGGCUACACACGUGCUACAAUGGCGCAUACAAAGAGAAGCGAGCCUGCGAGGGUGAGCGGACCUCAUAAAGUGCGUCGUAGUCCGGAUUGGAGUCUGCAACUCGACUCCAUGAAGUCGGAAUCGCUAGUAAUCGUAGAUCAGAAUGCUACGGUGAAUACGUUCCCGGGCCUUGUACACACCGCCCGUCACACCAUGGGAGUGGGUUGCAAAAGAAGUAGGUAGC